UACGGAGGGGGCUAGCGUUGUUCGGAAUUACUGGGCGUAAAGCGCACGUAGGCGGACUGUUAAGUCGGGGGUGAAAUCCUGGGGCUCAACCUCAGAAUUGCCUUCGAUACUGGCAGUCUCGAGUGCGGGAGAGGUGAGUGGAAUUCCCAGUGUAGAGGUGAAAUUCGUAGAUAUUGGGAAGAACACCAGUGGCGAAGGCGGCUCACUGGCCCGUAACUGACGCUGAGGUGCGAAAGCGUGGGGAGCAAACAGG
rnacentral:rRNA from 1 species